UCCGGUUUGUCACCGGCAGUCUCCCUAGAGUUCCCACCAUUACGUGCUGGCAACUAAGGACAAGGGUUGCGCUCGUUGCGGGACUUAACCCAACAUCUCACGACACGAGCUGACGACAGCCAUGCAGCACCUGUUUUCCAGGCCGAAGCACUCCCGCAUCUCUGCAGGAUUCUGUCAAUGUCAAGGGCAGGUAAGGUUCUUCGCGUUGCAUCGAAUUAAACCACAUGCUCCACCGCUUGUGCGGGUCCCCGUCAAUUCCUUUGAGUUUUACCGUUGCCGGCGUACUCCCCAGGCGGAGAACUUAACGCGUUAGCUGCGACACCGAGAGACUAAGUUCUCCCGACAUCUAGUUCUCAUCGUUUACGGCGUGGACUAC
rnacentral:misc_RNA from 1 species